rnacentral:rRNA from 1 species
AGAGUUUGAUCAUGGCUCAGAUUGAACGCUGGCGGCAUGCUUUACACAUGCAAGUCGAACGGUAACAGGCCUUCGGGCGCUGACGAGUGGCGAACGGGUGAGUAAUGCAUCGGAACGUGCCCAGUCGUGGGGGAUAACUACUCGAAAGAGUGGCUAAUACCGCAUACGAUCUGCGGAUGAAAGCGGGGGACCUUCGGGCCUCGCGCGAUUGGAGCGGCCGAUGUCAGAUUAGGUAGUUGGUGGGGUAAAGGCUCACCAAGCCAACGAUCUGUAGCUGGUCUGAGAGGACGACCAGCCACACUGGGACUGAGACACGGCCCAGACUCCUACGGGAGGUAGCAGUGGGGAAUUUUGGACAAUGGGCGCAAGCCUGAUCCAGCAAUGCCGCGUGCAGGAAGAAGGCCUUCGGGUUGUAAACUGCUUUUGUACGGAACGAAACGGUCCUGGCUAAUACCCGGGGCUAAUGACGGUACCGUAAGAAUAAGCACCGGCUAACUACGUGCCAGCAGCCGCGGUAAUA